rnacentral:rRNA from 1 species
AUACAUGCAAGUCGAGCGAACUGACGAGGAGCUUGCUCCUUUGACGUUAGCGGCGGACGGGUGAGUAACACGUGGGUAACCUACCUAUAAGACUGGAAUAACUCCGGGAAACCGGGGCUAAUGCCGGAUAACAUAUCGAACCGCAUGGUUCGAUAGUGAAAGACGGUCUUGCUGUCACUUAUAGAUGGACCCGCGCCGUAUUAGCUAGUUGGUGAGGUAACGGCUCACCAAGGCAACGAUACGUAGCCGACCUGAGAGGGUGAUCGGCCACACUGGAACUGAGACACGGUCCAGACUCCUACGGGAGGCAGCAGUAGGGAAUCUUCCGCAAUGGGCGAAAGCCUGACGGAGCAACGCCGCGUGAGUGAUGAAGGUCUUCGGAUCGUAAAGCUCUGUUGUUAGGGAAGAACAAAUGUGUAAGUAACUAUGCACAUCUUGACGGUACCUAACCAGAAAGCCACGGCUAACUACGUGCCAGCAGCCGCGGUAAUACGUAGGUGGCAAGCGUUAUCCGGAAUUAUUGGGCGUAAAGCGCGCGUAGGCGGUUUUUUAAGUCUGAUGUGAAAGCCCACGGCUCAACCGUGGAGGGUCAUUGGAAACUGGAAAACUUGAGUGCAGAAGAGGAAAGUGGAAUUCCAUGUGUAGCGGUGAAAUGCGCAGAGAUAUGGAGGAACACCAGUGGCGAAGGCGGCUUUCUGGUCUGUAACUGACGCUGAUGUGCGAAAGCGUGGGGAUCAAACAGGAUUAGAUACCCUGGUAGUCCACGCCGUAAACGAUGAGUGCUAAGUGUUAGGGGGUUUCCGCCCCUUAGUGCUGCAGCUAACGCAUUAAGCACUCCGCCUGGGGAGUACGGUCGCAAGACUGAAACUCAAAGGAAUUGACGGGGACCCGCAC